CAACGUUCGAAAGGAACGCUAAUACCGCAUACGUCCUACGGGAGAAAGCAGGGGACCUUCGGGCCUUGCGCUAUCAGAUGAGCCUAGGUCGGAUUAGCUAGUCGGUGAGGUAAUGGCUCACCAAGGCGACGAUCCGUAACUGGUCUGAGAGGAUGAUCAGUCACACUGGAACUGAGACACGGUCCAG
rnacentral:rRNA from 1 species